rnacentral:rRNA from 1 species
UACGUAGGGGGCAAGCGUUGUCCGGAUUUACUGGGCGUAAAGAGCGUGUAGGCGGCCACGCAGGUCCGUUGUGAAAACUGGAGGCUCAACCUCCAGCUGUCGACGGAAACCGUAUGGCUAGAGUCCGGAAGAGGAGAGUGGAAUUCCUGGUGUAGCGGUGAAAUGCGCAGAUAUCAGGAAGAACACCAAUGGCGAAGGCAGCUCUCUGAGACGGUACUGACGCUGAGACGCGAAAGCGUGGGGAGCGAACAGG